CAAUAGCGUAUAUUAAAGUUGUUGCAGUUAAAACGCUCGUAGUCGGAAUUUGGCAGUUCCGGAUGUGUGCACGUCGUGUGCGCACUUCGCGGGGAUUGCUUUUGUGGUCUUGCGUAGGAUGAGGCACUUUUAUUAGUGAACGUCCUCACGCAACCACUUUUUACUGUGAGAAAAUCAGAGUGCUCAAAGCAGGCAUUUGCCGUGAAUGUAUUAGCAUGGAAUAAUAGAAUAGGACUUGGUUCUAUUUUGUUGGUUUGUUGGGACUGAGUAAUGAUUAAGAGGGACAGUUGGGGGCAUUUGUAUUUCGGUGCUAGAGGUGAAAUUCUUAGAUUACCGAAAGACAAACUGCUGCGAAAGCGUCUGCCAAGGAUGUUUUCAUUGA
rnacentral:rRNA from 1 species